rnacentral:rRNA from 1 species
ACCCGCUGAACUUAAGCAUAUCAAUAAGCGGAGGAAAAGAAACCAACAGGGAUUGCCUUAGUAACGGCGAGUGAAGCGGCAACAGCUCAAAUUUGAAAGCUGGCUCCUUUGGAGUCCGCGUUGUAAUUUGUAGAGGAUGAUUCGGCAAGGGCUCCCGCCUAAGUCUCCUGGAACGGAGCGUCAUAGAGGGUGAGAAUCCCGUAUGCGGUGGGCUGCCUAAGCCAUGUGAAUCUCCUUCGACGAGUCGAGUUGUUUGGGAAUGCAGCUCUAAAUGGGAGGUAAAUUUCUUCUAAAGCUAAAUACCGGCCAGAGACCGAUAGCGCACAAGUAGAGUGAUCGAAAGAUGAAAAGCACUUUGGAAAGAGAGUUAAAAAGUACGUGAAAUUGUUGAAAGGGAAGCGCUUGCAGCCAGACUUGUCCGCAGUUGCUCAGCCGGUCUCCUGACCGGUGUACUCUUCUGCGGCCAGGCCAGCAUCAGUUCGGGCGGUCGGAUAAAGACCUCGGGAAUGUAGCUCCUCUCGGGGAGUGUUAUAGCCCGGGGUGGAAUGCGGCCAGCCUGGACUGAGGAUCUCGCUUCGGCUAGGAUGCUGGCGUAAUGGCUGUAAGCGGCCCGUCUUGAAACACGGACCAAGGAGUCUAACAUCUAUGCGAGUGUUUGGGUGUCAAACCCAUGCGCGUAAUGAAAGUGAACGGAGGUGGGAACCCUCACGGGUGCACCAUCGACCGAUCCUGAUGUCUUCGGAUGGAUUUGAGUAAGAGCAUAGCUGUUGGGACCCGAAAGAUGGUGAACUAUGCCUGAAUAGGGUGAAGCCAGAGGAAACUCUGGUGGAGGCUCGCAGCGGUUCUGACGUGCAAAUCGAUCGUCAAA